rnacentral:lncRNA from 1 species
UCCGCCGCGUGCGCGACCUUGCUCCUGCGCCUCCUACCCGGGCUGGACCUCCCCCCGUGCGUCGUCCCCACCCGCAUCACCAAGCUUCCCAACGGCGUCCGCGACUCCGCGUCGCCUCCGAGGAUGUCCAGGUACUACCCACCUCCCCCUCCCCUCUUCCUUCCGAUGAGUCCAUGGCUGACAGCGGCACCGUCUCCGAGCUCACGAACACCUGGAUUUGACAGGGAGCAGCACAGGGAUGGCGAAUUUGGCCGCUCUGCUCUGAUGAUGCCGUUAGAGCACAACUUGCUCGUUCUCAGCAUGAGGAAGAAGAUGAUUUAAAUGUUUUGGAAGGACUAAUCCAGUGAGGAUGGUGGACAAGAAAAUAUAGAAGGAAUGUGUAUGUCAAAACUGAAGAAAAGCAGACCACCUUGGUGGCUCUGUUCUCACAAAAGAAGAUUGUUUACUGUUUCACACAAAAUCGGAUUUUUGCCAGCAACUCAUCCACCUUGGUCUCAUCUUUCGUUGACGACCGAGCAUCAUGUAGCAGUAUCUCUGCGAAAAUCCAUAGAAGUAUCGGAACCGGCUGUGGAUAUGGGAAAAAGAAAAUCCCUAAAAUGCAUCUCUGAAACAAUGGCAUUUUUUCAGUGAAUGAACUAAGGAUAGCAGGUGCCACUGUUCCAGAUUGUACUAAUUCUCUGAAAAUUGAUUUGUUUUUCUGUAGCAAGUUGUCGUAUGAAUUUCAAAAAGGAACUAUUCUCUGAAAAUUGUUUCGUAUUUCUGUAGCAAUUUAUUGUAUAGAUUCUGAACACUGUUCAAGGAAAUCAGCAGCUGCCAUUGUUCGGAGAAUGAGCUAAUUCUCUGAAAAUCGUUUUGUUUUUCUGUAGCAAGUUAAUGUAUGAAAUCUGAAUUUGUUCAAAGAAAUCAGCAGCUGCCCUUAUUUUACAUCAGUUUACCCCCUCUUAGUAGAAAGGAACAACUCAUUUCUCUCGCUACUCCUAAUUUUGUGUUUGUGCUUUUGUGCAGGAGGAGGAAUUGAUUCUCAGACCACAAAAACAACAGAACAACAGGGAUGAUAUUCAGGUUUACAUAUCUCCAUAGGGAAUCGGAACCGGCUGUGGAUGUGGGAAAAAGAAAAUCCCUAAAUGCAUCUCUGAAACAAUGGCAUUUUUUCAGUGAAUGAACUAAGACUAGCAGUUCAUUUUUAUUCUGUUGGGGGAAUCUAUUUUGGACGAAAUUCUGAACACUUUUCAAUGUGAUAGCAGCUGCCACUAUCUCAAGAAUGUACUAUUUCUCUGAAAAUCGCUUUGUUUUUCUGUAGCAAGUUGUCAUAUGAAUUCUGACAGCAAACUGUCAUUUGUUCAAGAAGGAAUUAUUUUCUGAAUUUUUUUUGUAUUUCUGUAGCAAUUUAUUGUAUGAAUUCUGAACACUGUGCAAGGAAAUCAGCAGCUGCCAUUGUUCAGAGAAUGAGCUAAUUCUCUGAACAUCGCUUUGUUUUUC